CGUUAAAAUCUGGUUUAAGAGCAAAAAAACUACCUGUGCCAAUCAGUUUUUGCCAUUUAUGGGCUUUACCCUAUAAAAGAAAACCAUUUUAUGCAUUUAAAUGACCUUACACGUUAUCAGUUUAUUAAGCGUUUAGACUAUGUAGACACACUCACUGUGCACUAAAAUUAAAAAAAAUUGGUUAACACGACCACUCGUGGUGGCUUCACUCAGAGGUUGGAGAAGACAACCGGUGGACUAAACAUCAAGCCUCUGCACAAUUCAGGUAAGUGGAAUAAAAUACAUUGUAAAUAAACAUUAUUAAAACAGAUUGUGAAGUCAUUCAUUCAAAACUUGCUAUGACCUAAGCCUAAAUGACUUAAUUUCUUUUUAGAAUUAAGACAACCUUAGCAGGAGAGCCCUAGCAGUAACUUUCUCUCAAGCAGAUGAGCAAUAAGUUGCUUUGUAUGAACACCACCCUAACAAUCAAGUAGCCUGUUAACAGUAGACCAAAGGUAUGAUGAUCAAUUAUAAAUGCAAUAUGGUUGAAAGGUCAGUAAACAAACAACAAAAAGGUAAUUUCUUAAUAGAAUGUCUAUACAUUUUUUGCUUUUGUUACAUAUUUCAUACAUCAAAAUCAUUAAACGUUAAUAAUUAUGUAUUCCAACUUGUUGCAGCUUGACAAAAAUGUAGCUUGAAGGAGAAGGGACAGCUGAGUAACAAAGUCCUGGUAUGCAGACGACGAUACUAUUACACUGACAAGAGUGUAAUGAUGAUGGAGACACAAGCCAGAGAAAGUGGGGACCAAACACCCGGCCAGAAUUCUGCAUGAGUCAGAUCCAGUGGGUGCAGAUCAUCAUACAGAUGGUUCAAGUGUGGAUCCACCUAAUAUUCAAGAUUUUCUGUCCUGGGACACUCGGCUAACCAUCAAGAAAGAACACAGUAGGUUAACAAGAAUCUGACCUCACGUUUGAUCAUUACAAAAUUAUGGCAGUACAUUACACAUUUAAGGACUGUUAUUCCUCUGGCUGAUUUAAAAAUACCCAAAAGUUCUUAAAAAGAAG